rnacentral:rRNA from 1 species
CCCGGGGCACGGGGGGCCUACGGGAGGCAGCAGUUUGUAGUAUGUAAAGGGGACAGCAGGUAUAGAACGCAACGCAACGGUAAGUAAUGAUGGGCAUUGCAAGCCAUCGCCCANUAUUGGNNNGUAUUCCAGUGUAAAUANCNU